rnacentral:rRNA from 1 species
UGCAAGUCGAACGGCAGCACGGGAGCAAUCCUGGUGGCGAGUGGCGAACGGGUGAGUAAUAUAUCGGAACGUGCCCAGUCGUGGGGGAUAACGCAGCGAAAGCUGUGCUAAUACCGCAUACGAUCUACGGAUGAAAGCGGGGGAUCGCAAGACCUCGCGCGAUUGGAGCGGCCGAUAUCAGAUUAGCUAGUUGGUGGGGUAAAAGCCCACCAAGGCGACGAUCUGUAGCUGGUCUGAGAGGACGACCAGCCACACUGGAACUGAGACACGGUCCAGACUCCUACGGGAGGCAGCAGUGGGGAAUUUUGGACAAUGGGCGCAAGCCUGAUCCAGCAAUGCCGCGUGCAGGAUGAAGGCCUUCGGGUUGUAAACUGCUUUUGUACGGAGCGAAACGGCUUCCCCUGAUACGGGGAGCUAAUGACGGUACCGUAAGAAUAAGCACCGGCUAACUACGUGCCAGCAGCCGCGGUAAUACGUAGGGUGCGAGCGUUAAUCGGAAUUACUGGGCGUAAAGCGUGCGCAGGCGGUUAUAUAAGACAGAUGUGAAAUCCCCGGGCUCAACCUGGGACCUGCAUUUGUGACUGUAUAGCUAGAGUACGGUAGAGGGGGAUGGAAUUCCGCGUGUAGCAGUGAAAUGCGUAGAUAUGCGGAGGAACACCGAUGGCGAAGCAAUCCUCUGGACCUGUACUGACGCUCAUGCACGAAAGCGUGGGGAGCAAACAGGAUUAGAUACCCUGGUAGUCCACGCCCUAAACGAUGUCAACUGGUUGUUGGGUCUUCACUGACUCAGUAACGAAGCUAACGCGUGAAGUUGACCGCCUGGGGAGUACG